UACGUAGGUGACCAGCGUUGUCCGGAUUUACUGGGCGUAAAGAGCGCGCAGGCGGUCGUUCAAGUCGAGUGUGAAAGCCCCCGGCUCAACUGGGGAGGGUCACGCGAUACUGCUCGACUUGAAGGCAGGAGAGGGAAGUGGAAUUCCCGGUGUAGUGGUGAAAUGCGUAGAUAUCGGGAGGAACACCAGUGGCGAAGGCGGCUCACUGGCCCGGUACUGACGCUGAGGUGCGAAAGCGUGGGGAGCAAACAGGG
rnacentral:rRNA from 1 species